AGCGAGGCAAAGCCGCGAGGCGGAGCGAAUCGCUAAAAGCCGUCCCAGUUCGGAUUGUAGUCUGCAACUCGACUACAUGAAGCUGGAAUCGCUAGUAAUCGCGAAUCAGAAUGUCGCGGUGAAUACGUUCCCGGGUCUUGUACACACCGCCCGUCACACCAUGGGAGUUGGGAAUGCCCGAAGCCGGUGACCUAACCGAAAGGGAGGAGCCGUCGAAGGCAGGCUUGAUAACUGGGGUGAAGUCGUAACAAGGUAAC
rnacentral:rRNA from 1 species